rnacentral:rRNA from 1 species
UACGAAGGGUGCAAACGUUGCUCGGAAUUAUUGGGCGUAAAGCGCACGUAGGCGGCUUAGCAAGUCGGAUGUGAAAUCCCUCGGCUCAACCAAGGAAGUGCAUCCGAAACUGCUGAGCUUGAGUACGAAAGGGGAUCGCGGAAUUCCCGGUGUAGAGGUGAAGUUCGUAGAUAUCGGGAGGAACACCAGUGGCGAAGGCGGCGAUCUGGGUCGAUACUGACGCUGAGGUGCGAAAGCGUGGGGAGCAAACAGG